rnacentral:rRNA from 1 species
GCGUUAAUCGGCAUUACUGGGCGUAAAGCGUGCGUAGGCGGUUGGUUAAGUCUGUUGUGAAAUCCCCGGGCUCAACCUGGGAAUGGCAAUGGAUACUGGCCAGCUAGAGUGUGUCAGAGGAUGGUGGAAUUCCCGGUGUAGCGGUGAAAUGCGUAGAGAGCGGGAGGAACAUCAGUGGCGAAGGCGGCCAUCUGGGACAACACUGAAGCUGAGGCACGAAAGCGUG